UGCUGUAUAAAUAUUUUAAGAUUGUGCCAGUAACAGGAGUUUGUGUGUACAUUACACGGAGUUCUCUCUUAUCCGGUUGGGGAAGCCGCUGGAAAGAGCAGAUGCAAAUUGUCCAAACAAACAUUUGUUUCCCCCGGCCCGUGGGGGCGGGGAGGCGGGGGGUUGGACGCCCUCCCUCCUCCGGAGCCACAGGUAGGGCCCCGCUGGGCUGGGGAGCGCGCGGGGGGAGUUGUGUGUUUGUGCUGUGAGCUCUGCCAGGACUGGAACACCUGUGGAUGGAAUUUCAAUUAACAACGAGAGACAAAAUCCCCCCCCAGCCCGGCUCGGGCGCCCACGUGCUGCUGGGUGGUGUGAACUUCCCGCCAGGCACCGCUUCGUCAGCUAAAAGCGGAGCGUGAGACUGAAGGCAGGCUUCCCAAUACAAAAAAAGAGACUUUUUCCGCAGGAGGAAAGAGGCAGGAAGGCCGACUGGCCUGGUGCCUCUGUCCAUUGCACAAGUGGACACAAUCGACGCCUGGGGCUCACAGGACCCCCUCCUAUGGCCCCUGCGGUGGGAAGAUCCUAGCUCGAGCCCGAGGCUCCCGCCAGCUCAAAUGGCCAGGAGGCACCAGGCUGGAAGGCACAGGCCCGGAAGUCCCUGCUCAUGUUCCAUCUUCUCACACGGAAACCAGAAGACCAAGGCUGCCCAGGCAGGAAAGCUGACACCAUGAGCUCUGCAGCCACACUGCAGGACCGCGGGCACCACUGCCGUUUCUCAAGCCUCUUCUUCAGGGGCUGCCCCACUUCGCUGGUCCUGCCCGUGCCUGGACCAUCCACACUGUCGCCCUUCAGCUUGGCCGGACCGGCCAGAACCGGUGCUGCUGCUGCUUGAGGUCCGGGAAACAAACACAAACCACAACACUGCAGGCUCAGAACCUCCUGAGGCCACAUCACCGGGGGAGAAGAGCCAGUCUGAGGGCCAGCAGCCUGUGCUGAGCGUUUUCAUUAUUGCCGAACAUAAAAAGCUAAAGGCAAGGAGACCAACGCAUUUCCCAAAGUGUCUGUAUUUUAAGCCGUGUUUUCUUUGUUAAAUGUGUAAAAACAUGGAGACGAGACAGGUGGAAUUCUGCA